rnacentral:rRNA from 1 species
GACAGAGGGUGCAAACGUUGUUCGGAAUUACUGGGCGUAAAGCGCGUGUAGGCGGCCUACUAAGUCGGACGUGAAAUCCCUCGGCUCAACCGGGGAACUGCGUCCGAUACUGGAUGGCUCGAGUUUGGGAGAGGGAUGCGGAAUUCCAGGUGUAGCGGUGAAAUGCGUAGAUAUCUGGAGGAACACCGGUGGCGAAGGCGGCAUCCUGGACCAACACUGACGCUGAGGAGCGAAAGCCAGGGGAGCAAACGGG